rnacentral:rRNA from 1 species
GCAAGUCGAACGCUUCUUUCCUCCCGAGUGCUUGCACUCAAUUGGAAAGAGGAGGGGGGACCGGGUGAGUAACACGUGGGUAACCUACCCAUCAGAGGGGGAUAACACUUGGAAACAGGUGCUAAUACCGCAUAACAGUUUAUGCCGCAUGGCAUAAGAGUGAAAGGCGCUUUCGGGUGUCGCUGAUGGAUGGACCCGCGGUGCAUUAGCUAGUUGGUGAGGUAACGGUCACCAAGGCCACGAUGCAUAGCCGACCUGAAGGGUGAUCGGCCACACUGGGACUGAACACGGCCCAGACUCCUACGGGAGGCAGCAGUAGGGAAUCUUCGGCAAUGGACGAAAGUCUGACCGAGCAACGCCGCGUGAGUGAAGAAGGUUUCGGAUCGUAAAACUCUGUNGUAGAGAAGAACAAGGACGUUAGUAACUGAACGUCCCCUGACCGGUAUCUAACCAGAAAGCCACGGUAACUACGUGCCAGCAGCCGCGGUAAUACGUAGGUGGCAAGCGUUGUCCGGAUUAUUGGGCGUAAGCGAGCGCAGGCGGUUUCUUCAAGUCUGAUGUGANAGGCCCCCGGUCAACCCGGGGAGGGUCCUUGGAACCUCGGGAGACUUGAUUGCCGACAAGGACAUGGAAUUCCCUUGUGUACCGGUGAAAUGGUCGAUUCUUGGAGGAACNCCCCAAUUGGGACGAAACGGC